CCUCGCUCUUGAUGUGCUUCCACAGAAGCCGAUUGCUUUGGUGUGAUUUGCUUCUUGGCUGCAGCAGCAGCAGGAACAGUAGCCUGGCUUCACCGGCUCAGAUGGAAGGAGAUGAUAUCUCAGUGUCACUGAUGCUUACAUAAUCAAGAAGCGGCUCAACUGGACAUGAAACUGCACGAUGGAUUUCACCGACUGUUGCAGCACAGUAGCGGKGGGUGAAGGGCUCCCACAGUCCAGUCAGAUCCAGGUGACGCUGGGGUCACAGCGGGUCUCGCUGUCAGAAUCAAGAGACGGAUGGAGGGCUUUAAUCCAGCCGGUGUCAUGAAGAUGGAUCAGAUGUAAACACACGUGGUGUCGCUCGGACCCUUUACCUGACUUUUAGCGCACAUUUUUAUGAAAGCUUUCUCCUUUGCUCAAAUAACAGCAAACAUGAACUUUG